rnacentral:rRNA from 1 species
CUUUCCCUCUGGCGGUAGGUCUAACACAUGCAAGUCGAACGGCAGCACAGUAAGAGCUUGCUCUUACGGGUGGCGAGUGGCGGACGGGUGAGGAAUACAUCGGAAUCUACUUUUUCGUGGGGGAUAACGUAGGGAAACUUACGCUAAUACCGCAUACGACCUACGGGUGAAAGCAGGGGAUCUUCGGACCUUGCGCGAUUGAAUGAGCCGAUGUCGGAUUAGCUAGUUGGCGGGGUAAAGGCCCACCAAGGCGACGAUCCGUAGCUGGUCUGAGAGGAUGAUCAGCCACACUGGAACUGAGACACGGUCCAGACUCCUACGGGAGGCAGCAGUGGGGAAUAUUGGACAAUGGGCGCAAGCCUGAUCCAGCCAUACCGCGUGGGUGAAGAAGGCCUUCGGGUUGUAAAGCCCUUUUGUUGGGAAAGAAAAGCAGCAGGUUAAUACCCCGCUGUUCUGACGGUACCCAAAGAAUAAGCACCGGCUAACUUCGUG